rnacentral:rRNA from 1 species
UACGGAGGGGGCUAGCGUUGUUCGGAAUUACUGGGCGUAAAGCGCGCGUAGGCGGACCUGCAAGUCGGGGGUGAAAGCCCGAGGCUCAACCUCGGAACUGCCUUCGAUACUGCGGGUCUCGAGUCCGGGAGAGGUGAGUGGAAUUCCUAGUGUAGAGGUGAAAUUCGUAGAUAUUAGGAAGAACACCAGUGGCGAAGGCGGCUCAGCUGGCCCGGUACUGACGCGUGAGGCGCGAAGCGUGGGGAGCAAACAGG